GGUUUAACCUGCCCCCUGUAAUUUUUAAAUGGCGCGGUAUUUUGACCGUGCUAAGGUAGCAUAAUCAUUAGUUUUUUAAUUGAAAACUGGAAUGAAGGGUUGGAUGAAAAAAAAUCUGUCUUUAUUUAAAUAAAUAGAAUUUUAUUUUUAAGUUAAAAAGCUUAAAUUAUAUUAAAAGACGAGAAGACCCUAUAGAGUUUUAUAAUAAAAAUUUAAUUUUUAUAAAGUAUUAAAUUAAUUAUUAAAAUAUUAUUAUUUAAUUGGGGUGAUUAAAAAAUUUAAUUAACUUUUUUUAUAUUUUUAUAUUAAUUUAUAGAUAUUUGAUCCAUUUAUAUGAUUAAAAGAUUAAAUUACCUUAGGGAUAACAGCGUAAUUUUAUUGGAGAGUUCAAAUCGAUAAUAGAGAUUGCGCCCUCGAUGUUGGAUUAAAA
rnacentral:rRNA from 1 species